UUUGGAGGUCCGAACGGAGCAUCAGAGGGGUGCACGUGGCUGAGAGGCUGGAGAGUAGACUGCUUGCUAGAACUUCACAAGCCCUGGUUCACAUUUUUAGUCCCACGGUCAUUAUGUGAAGCAACUUCCUACCAAAUUCCCAGCAGAGUCAGUGAGAAAGCCAGGAGGAAGUUGCAACUCCCAGAAGAGAAGGGAGAUAAGUGGCUACUGCCAUGUGGGGAAGUUUGACUAAAAUUGUGCAAGAAGAGAUUCUACAUAAAUUGCUGUGGCUGGCAUUGUAUUACCAGAGGCUCCUAAGCCAAGUUGCAGGAAUGAAUUCUUCUACCAUCAUUAUUUCCAAUCAACCGUAUUAUUUGAGUAAGCAUGUAAAGAAGGGAUGGGCAAUUAAUUUUCCCAAGGGGCCAUAUGAGAAAAUGGAAUUAUUGUGAACAGCUGAACCAACAGAACUAAGUUGCUAGAAUUCAGAAACACUGAUUUAGAUGUUUGAAGAAUGGUAGUGUUUUCUCACAGAAAAGAUGACACUUAUGGAAGAAGAAUAUUCAUAAAAGUGAAAAAGAAAGAAGAUACAGUUUCCAAGCCAUCUUCUCUUGAAAACAGAAGUCUGAUAUCAGUAAAAAUACUAAAUUGCCUUUUAACUUCAGAGGAUAAAUUCUGGGAAUCUGAAACCAAAUACAAUGAAAUCUGUGAAACAUAAGAGAGAAAGUACUUUUAUCCCAGUCAAUAUAAAAAAUGCUUUUAUUUUUUAUCAGUUUUUGAAAACCACACAUCUCGCAGCAGGACUCUGGGUAGGGUACAAAUAAAAUAUGAAAUACAUUAAAAAAAACUUUAUAUAACUUUUUAAAAGAGGCAAGCCAUGUUCAGAAUUAAUUAAAAUCCCAUAAGAAUCUAACACAAUUCAGGACAAGUCCAUCAAAUGCAAAGAAUGUUCUUUCAUUGCAUGUAGCAACCUGCCU